GCCAGACUCCUACGGGAGGCAGCAGUGGGGAAUAUUGCACAAUGGGGGAAACCCUGAUGCAGCGACGCCGCGUGAAGGAAGAAGUAUUUCGGUAUGUAAACUUCUAUCAGCAGGGAAGAAAAUGACGGUACCUGACUAAGAAGCCCCGGCUAACUACGUGCCAGCAGCCGCGGUAAUACGUAGGGGGCAAGCGUUAUCCGGAUUUACUGGGUGUAAAGGGAGCGUAGGCGGUUUAGCAAGUCAGAAGUGAAAGCCCGGGGCUCAACUCCGGGACUGCUUUUGAAACUGUUGAACUAGAGUGCAGGAGAGGUAAGUGGAAUUCCUAGUGUAGCGGUGAAAUGCGUAGAUAUUAGGAGGAACACCAGUGGCGAAGGCGGCCUGCUGGACUGCAACUGACGUUGAGGCCCGAAAGCGUGGGGAGCAAACAGGAUUAGAUACCCCAGUAAC
rnacentral:rRNA from 1 species